rnacentral:rRNA from 1 species
GACGAACGCUGGCGGCGUGCCUAAUACAUGCAAGUCGAACGCACAGUUUCUACCGUUGCUUGCUGCACCAUAGACUGUGAGUUGCGAACGGGUGAGUAACGCGUCGGUAACCUGCCUGGUAGCGUGGGAUAACUAUUGGUAACGAUAGCUAAUACCUCAUGAUGUUAAUUAUUGCAUGAUAAUUAAUUGCAAGUUGCAAUUGCCCCACUACCUAUUGGCCCUGCGUUGUAUUAGCUAGUAGGUGAGGUAACGGCUCACCUAGGCGACGAUACAUAGCCGAAAUGAGAGGGUGAGUGGCCACACUGGGACGGAGACACGGCCCAGAGUGCUACAGGAGGGAGCAGGAGGGAAACGGCAGGAAGGGAUGAAAGUCAGAGCGAGAAACGCGGAGGGAGGGAAGAAGGAUGUCGGAUCGGAAAGCUCGGUUGUAGGAGAAGAAAGGGCGUGAGAGUGGAAAGUACACACUGUGACGGUAACUGACCAGAAAGGGACGGCUAACUACGUG